AGGGUUAUACCUCAGUGGUAGAGUGCAUGCUUAGCAUGCACAAAGUCCUGGGUUCAGUCCCCAGUACCUCCU
rnacentral:tRNA from 1 species